rnacentral:misc_RNA from 1 species
AAGUCGUAACAAGGUUUCCGUAGGUGAACCUGCGGAAGGAUCAUUGACAAAUCUCAACCGUUGCGUGGACGCUGGCUUCUGCCGCGCCCCACAACAAAUCCUAACCUGUGAAUCGCAGCGCUGCACGCAGUGCGGCGGCUGUCGUGUCUGUGUGGCUGCAAAGCUGCGCAACACACAAAUUAACGUAACAAAUGUCUUGAAGAAUACAAAACUAAAAUACAACUUUUAGCAAUGGAUCUCUUGGCUUCU